rnacentral:rRNA from 1 species
GGACUACCAGGGUUUCUAAUCCUGUUUGCUCCCCACGCUGUCGCGCCUGAGCGUCAGUAACGGGCCAGUGAGCCGCCUUCGCCACCGGUGUUCUUCCGAAUAUCUACGAAUUUCACCUCUACACUCGGAAUUCCACUCACCUCUCCCGUACUCAAGCCUUACAGUCUCAGAGGCAGUUCCGGAGUUGAGCUCCGGGCUUUCACCCCUGACUUGAAAGGCCGCCUGCGCGCGCUUUACGCCCAGUAAUUCCGAACAACGCUAGCCCCCUUCGUAUUACCGCGGCUGCUGGCAC